CCUACGGGUGGCAGCAGUGGGGAAUAUUGGGCAAUGGACGCAAGUCUGACCCAGCCAUGCCGCGUGAAGGAAGAAGGCUUUCGGGUUGUAAACCUCUUUUGUCAGGGAAGAGUAUAACGCUGUCACUGACGGAUAAGCCACGGCUAACUACGUCCAAGCAGCCGCGGUAAUACGUAGGUCGCAAGCGUUGUCCGGAUUUACUGGGUUUAAAGGGCGUGUAGCCGGGUUGACAAGUCAGAUGUGAAAUCCUGGGGCUUAACCGCAGAACUGCCUUUGACACUGUUGCUCUUGAGUAUAGGAGAGGCAGGUGGAAUUCCUGGUGUAGCGGUGAAAUGCGUAGAGAUUAGGAGGAACACCGGUGGCGAAGGCGGCCUACUGGACAGCAACUGACGGUGAGGCGCGAAAGCGUGGGGAGCAAACAGGAUUAGAUACCCUUGUAGUC
rnacentral:rRNA from 1 species